rnacentral:lncRNA from 10 species
UAUAUGUUCCUGUCACCACACACUUGGACCGAAGUAAGUCCUGAAGCAGGAAAUCAGUGAGUUUCACAGCUUUCUGAGCCACUACGCAACCCAGGAAGCCCAGAUGGCCCCUCCUUUCAGUAUCAUCAAUCAGAGCUUAAGGAGGGCAAGAUACUUGAAGUCUAACUCACCAAGAGGAUGAAGUUCUCAUCAUUCCAUCUGACGAACAAGCGAGAACUAGCCAAGUGCUGGCCAAAGGUGAGUCAAAUCUAGAAUGACUGAUAAAGGAAGAAGAUGAUAAAUAUCAGUUUUGCUUCUGGGACCACCUGCAGUAACAAGGACUCCAUCUUGUUUGCUAACAUUUUUUAUGUCUCUGGAGGAGACUGAAAUUGACAACUACUUUGAAGAACUGAACUUGUUCCUUCUUUUCUGAGAAAGAAGCAAGGGUCUCUUUUUCUAAUAACAGCUUUGGGUACCAUAUAAAGGCAUAAGUGCUAUUUAAUUGGUAUGAAGGGUAAACUAAUAAAGAUUCAGUUCACGUACC